rnacentral:rRNA from 1 species
UAACCUGGUUGAUCCUGCCAGUAGUCAUAUGCUUCGUUCAAGGGCUAAGCCAUGCAUGUCUCAGCGCACAAUGGUUCAACAGUGGGUCUGUGAAUGGCUCCUUACAUCAGCAGUCAUCUACGUGAUACAGUGCGAAUGGCAGCACCUCUCAGUUGCCCGUUUGGACAUCCUCCAAAACCUGGUGGCUAAUACACGAAAGCAACAGUCUGCCACAUGUGGUGGGCUGCCCUCGGGUGGUCUGCCGUGGUGGAUUGCACUCAGCCGCAUGAAAGACCAGCGCCUGUCAAGGGCAGUGUGUCUCUGGCUGAAUCAGGCUGAUCCCUCUGGGACACCUGUGCUGGCAGUGAGGUGGUUCGCCACAGCAUGCUUGAUCACACGAACUUCUGACCUAUCAGCCUUGACUGUGGUGUAGUGGACCACAGUGGCAGUGACGGGUGACGGAGAAUUUGGGUUCGAUUCCGGAGAGGGAGCCUGAGAAACGGCUACCACUACCAAGGUGGGCAGCAGGCGCGCAAAUUGCCCAAUACAAACACAACUUGUGAGGCAGCGACGAACUGCAGCAAUUCUGCUGGUAUCACUACCAGCAGAACUUGGAAUGGAUGCUAUCCAAACACAGUGAUGAGUAACAACUGGAGGGCAAGUCUGGUGCCAGCAGCUGCGGUAAUUCCAGCUCCAAGGGCGUAUACUAACAUUGCUGCUGUUAAAACACUUGUAGUCUGCCACUGGGUGCAGGUCUGCUGGGUGGCUGGUGGGCCACAGUGUGGAAGGUCUCCGGACUGACCGCCUGUGGUUUGCUGGAACUCAACCCCUGGCAGUAUGUUCCUGUGCCCCUGCUUGUUGAUGGUGAGAAAACUGUGCUCCUGCAUGAAGUCUCCUUCAGUGGAGGCCAAGGCGGUAUUACACCCGACACUUGUCUGGGCAUCUCAGGGGCAUGGCCCAGUGCCGUGCAUCACCCUGGCCCACCACCGGAGCCCACCAUCGGUGUCACCCUGGAAAACUCAGUGUGCUCAAAGCAUCCAGUCUUGGCUGGAUGUCCGUCCAUGGAAUGGCAAAGCAUCGACCGGGUAUGGCAAUGGAGUUGUGCUGGCCUUGGUGCCAACUCUGGAGAAUCUGGUGCUGUUCCCAGCAACCAAGUGGGUCAUUCUGCCCUCGGGUGUUUGAUCCAUGGAAUUGUUUGGUGGCAGUAACCGAACGCAUCUGAUGGGACUGCUCAGGGUGAAAGGUAUUGCAGCGCCAGAGGUGAAAUUCUUAGACCGCUGCCAGACCAACUGCAGCGAAGGCGUUCUGCAAGUGCAUGUUCGUCGAUCAAGAAUGAGAGCGUGGGGAGCGAAGAUGAUCAGACACCGUCGUAGUCCACAGCUGUAAACCAUGCCAGCUCGGCAUUGAUGAGGUAAGCACAUGAACCUCAGCGGUGCCAUGCCCCCUGCAACGAGAAAUCCAAGCCUUUGGGUUCAGGGGGGGAGUACUGUCGCAAGGCUGAAACUUAAAGGAAUUGACGGAAUGGCACCACMAGGCGUGGAGUAUGCGGCUUAAUUUGACUCAACACGGGGAAUGUUACCAGGUCAGGACSUUGCUGGGAUGGACAGAUUGAGAGCUCUUUCUUGAUCCUUCGGAUGGUGGUGCAUGGCCGCUCCUGAUUGGUGGAGUGAUUUGUCUGGUUGAUUCCGAUAACGAGUGAGAUCUCUGCCUCCCAAUAGCACCAGUCUCGCAUCUGUAGGGUGGACCCCAGGGUCACGUCCCUCGGUGGCUUGCUGCCUUGGGAUUCCUGUGGGUUCCCUGAGAGCUCUGGUAUCAGCUUCUCUGAGGUGCUGUGUCUGCCACCAAAGGCACGCAUGCUAGAGCCAACAGCAGGUCUGUGAUGCUCCCAGAUGUCCUGGGCCGCACGCGCACUACAUUGACACAGUGAAGGUGUUAUGCUUCCUUGUGAAGCCCUGAUCAGAAGUGAUUGGGAAAUCCUGCAAGCCUGUGCUGUACUGGGGAUAGAUGAUUGCAACUGUCUGCCUUGAACGAGGAAUGCCUAGUAGGCGUGGGUCAUCAGCCCACACCGAUUGUGUCCCUGCCAUUUGUACACACCGCCCGUCGUUGCUACCGAUGAUCGCUGGAUAGAGCCAUCAGGAGGCCAUGGGGUACUCUGCUACCCCAGCUGAAAUUGGGCAAUGUCCAGCGAUUAGAGGAAGCAAAAGUCGUAACAAGGUUGUUGUAGGUGAACCUGCCAGAAGGAUCAAA